GUUGUGUCUGUCCCUUCAGGAAACCAUUAGUAUGGGGCACAGCUGCAGGUCUGGUCGUCGUCAUCAGUGGUUUGGGGGCAGCUCUGGCAGCAUGGCAGGCACUUGUGAUCUAACCCAGAAAAUGUUACUGGAGGGAGAGCGUAGCACUGGGAUGUGGUCUCCCUCCUUGAUGGGUGGAGAGAGAGCCAUGACCGCCCCCCCCGGCGGGCAGAACCGGGAUACCUGCAGCCACCCCGCCGGAAGCAGGGGGGGCGGGGCAGGAACAGGAACUAUAAAAGGCCAGCCCACUAGCUCAGUUGGGGCAGAGCUGCCAAAGGAGCUGGAUGUCUCUCCCUUGCUGCUGGAGCCUGGACCUGAUGGAGGCUGCUCCCGUGCCAGAGACCGGCAAGGGCUGCCAGACACCAGGGACACGGAGGAGCUGUUGGAGCUACUGCUUGCCCUUUACCCAGGCAAGACCGAUACCAGCCCCAAAAUGCAGGUACCUGGCCUGGGAGUGUAGGAAGGAGCCCAGGGAAGGUGAAUAGGGUUUGGCUGUGUGUGGUGAACUGGGAAUGUUCUUAAUGUUUUCUCUGAAUACGGUGUUGGUGCCUCAGUGUCCCCUAGGCAGUUCUUAAGUAUCUAGGUGGUGGAAUAAGGGUGUGUGAUUGCUGCAGAGCAAGGGGCCAGUGCACCUAAAUGCCUGACCUGCUGUCUCCUAGCAACUGAUGGCCUGGGCCCCCCCUCUGCAAAGGUGCCAGCUGAAGGUGUUGGAGACAAAGAGGUUGGGUGACCUCCUGGCCCAGGAAAGGAACUCAGCAGAGAGGAGGGGCUNUUAGUCUGGAGCUGGCUGGGGUCAAGGGUGGAGGGCAGACCUGGGGGUCUGGCUCACUGCCCCCCAGAAUGGACCCAGCUGAGGGGUCCUGGUCACUGUACCUACCAGCUCUGUUUUAGACCGUGUUCCUGUCAUCGAAUAAAUCUCUGUGUUACUGGCUGGCUGAGAGUCA
rnacentral:lncRNA from 1 species